UUAUAAUUUGAAUUUGGGAAAUAAAAUUCGAGCAAAUGGGCACUUUUUUAAAUUUGUUCAAUGUCUUAUUGAUGCAGAAUAUGAAAAAAGUCGCGAGUUUGCUUUACUCUUUCAAAAUGGUGGUAAUGGAAAUCAGACACAGAAGAAGAAAUUACGUGAUCGCUCAAAAAAAAUAAUGGACGCAAUGGAUCUUUUUGAAAGAGGUGAAAUAGAUAUACAGGGAUUUCUGACAUGCACUGUUUCCUUAGCUGACCGCUUUUCAAAGCAGGACUUCUUUGAAGGGGUGGACAAUGAAAGCAAUUUAACUGGAAUGUCUUCUGAUAUGAAAUCUUCCACAUCGUCACUUUCAUCGAAUGCUUCUCAUUCAAGUCAGUCAUCUGAUAAAUCAUUGGUUCAAAUGAAUCCAUGCAAUGUGUGCCUAUGUAACCCAAAGUCUGUGUUGUUGCGCCGUGCAAUCACGUAAACAUUUGUGGUACAUGUUGGGAUCAAAUUGUGGCCCACAACCAAGCAAAAAAAGAGUUGGAAGAAAAUGAAAAUAUAAAGCCAAAAUGUCCAAGUUGCAACCGAGAAGUCGAAGAGGCCAUACGCAAUGUUUUUAUUUACAAUUAACUUGUGUAAGUUAAGAACGACAAAAUUUAAGAAAACUUCUAUUAUGAUUUCUGUGUAUUUGGACUAUUGCACAUUUUUUAAUUUCAAUAAAAUCAUGUUAUAAAAUGAAAUGCUGUCAAAAAAAUAUAAGUGUAUUUUACAUGCGAAA